rnacentral:lncRNA from 1 species
ACUAGUUUGGACAUGAGGCAUUCCUUCUCCUGCUGGAGGUGUUUCUUUUGAAGCCUGGGGCCAAAAAAAAAAAAAAAAAACAGGAAUCCUGAGAGCCAGUAGGGCCCAGCCCACCCAGAGCUCUGAUGUCCACCUCACAAUGGCCUGAGAGACUCCCUCAAGAAACACUGAGAAAUGUUUCCUGCCGAGAAACAAUGAGGAAGAGGAACAGACAGCCCUUCUUACCCAGUGACCUGAAUCGUCGUCUUCUGUAGAAAGGUCACUUAAUCGCAUCACCGAGACCAGCUUUUCUGAAGAUGGUGGUGUGAUCUCCAGGCAAUGAGGUGGAUUCUGAUGCAAAGGAGUGAAAGAUAGAUAAGCUGCUAAGGCCAAGCCUCGGACGGAAGUGUACUUAUUUGCUCUGUGGAGUUUUGCUGACUGCCAAAGUGACUGGCAGAGCCGACACACUGCAAUGGCAACCCAGAGCUCCUGCCCAGGAAUCAACCACUCUAGACCCUCCUGAAGGAAACAUUACCUGCCCAAGUCUAAAUGAUGGUUUUGAAGAAUUUCUAACAUUGAAAAAGGCAUGGGUUAGAAUGUUAAGUUAUAAAGAAGGCUAGGUUUGUGUGCUGUGUGCCUGAAUAGUCCCAGCUACUGGGGAGGCUGAGACUUCUGGAAGAGGAGUUCAAGAUCAGAUCAGGCAACAUAAAGACACUCAACCUUUUAAAAAAGAGAAAAAGAAACAAACAAACACAUGGUGG